UGCAAGUCGAACGGCAGCGCGGGGGCAACCGUGGCGGCGAGUGGCGAACGGGUGAGUAAUAUAUCGGAACGUACCCAAGAGUGGGGGAUAACGUAGCGAAAGUUACGCUAAUACCGCAUACGCCCUAAGGAUGAAAGCAGGGGAUCGCAAGACCUUGUGCUCCUGGAGCGGCCGAUAUCUGAUUAGCUAGUUGGUGGGGUAAAGGCCCACCAAGGCAACGAUCAGUAGCUGGUCUGAGAGGACGACCAGCCACACUGGAACUGAGACACGGUCCAGACUCCUACGGGAGGCAGCAGUGGGGAAUUUUGGACAAUGGGGGCAACCCUGAUCCAGCAAUGCCGCGUGAGUGAAGAAGGCCUUCGGGUUGUAAAGCUCUUUUGUCAGGGAAGAAAAGGCUGUGGCUAAUAUCCACAGCUGCUGACGGUACCUGAAGAAUAAGCACCGGCUAACUACGUGCCAGCAGCCGCGGUAAUACGUAGGGUGCAAGCGUUAAUCGGAAUUACUGGGCGUAAAGCGUGCGCAGGCGGUUUCGUAAGUCUGUCGUGAAAUCCCCGGGCUUAACCUGGGAAUGGCGAUGGAGACUGCGAAGCUAGAGUUUGGCAGAGGGGGGUAGAAUUCCACGUGUAGCAGUGAAAUGCGUAGAGAUGUGGAGGAACACCGAUGGCGAAGGCAGCCCCCUGGGUCAAAACUGACGCUCAUGCACGAAAGCGUGGGGAGCAAACAGGAUUAGAUACCCUGGUAGUCCACGCCCUAAACGAUGUCUACUAGUUGUUGGGUCUUAAUUGACUUAGUAACGCAGCUAACGCGUGAAGUAGACCGCCUGGGGAGUACGNUCGCAAGAUUAAAACUCAAAGGAAUUGACGGGGACCCGCACAAGCGGUGGAUGAUGUGGAUUAAUUCGAUGCAACGCGAAAAACCUUACCUACCCUUGACAUGGCAGGNAUCCCGGAGAGAUUUGGGA
rnacentral:rRNA from 1 species